rnacentral:rRNA from 1 species
UACAGAGGUCUCAAGCGUUGUUCGGAUUCAUUGGGCGUAAAGGGUGCGUAGGUGGCGUCGUAAGUCAGGUGUGAAAUCCCGGGGCUCAACCCCGAAACUGCACUUGAUACUGCGAUGCUUGAGUACUGGAGAGGAGAUUGGAAUUUACGGUGUAGCAGUGAAAUGCGUAGAUAUCGUAAGGAAGACCAGUGGCGAAGGCGAAUCUCUGGACAGUUACUGACACUGAGGCACGAAGGCCAGGGGAGCAAACGGG